GCAGUGUAGCAUAAUGGGUAAGGUGCUGGUAUUGUAACCUAAAGGUUGCGGGUUCAAUUCCCGUGUGGGACACUGCC
rnacentral:tRNA from 1 species